AAGUCUAGUACACACUGAAGAUGGUGGGUAGGUGGUUUCAGAGGGGAAAUUGAUUGGUUUGCAGCAGGCGGAAACCUAAUGUUCCACAUCACAUAGUUUCUUACAAAGAAAAAAAAAACACUUCAGUUUUGUUUUCCACAGAGUUUCAGUAUCAAGUGUAAGUGUUGGCACAGAAAUGUUUAAAACACUAAAAUCUUAUGCUCUCCUGCCAUCUAGAACAAAUACUAAAUACGUUCAUAUAUUUCUACUGUUAAACACAGAGGCACAGGGCCCAUUAAUAAUUAGGGUUAAUAUGAUCUCACCUGAACUUGAGAGGGGAUGUGUAAGUCAGCUCUUCACAGUUCUUGAAAGUGUGUUACACACACACACGCACACACAGAGAGAGGGUUUGUGUGUUGGAUGGUCAACAUCUCGGAGCUCCUGUAACACAUCAAGGUCGACACACAGCGGACGGGUGUAGAUGGCAUCUCCGUUCACUGAGCUGGAGGCGCUGACGAUCAUGUUCUCUCUCCUGGUUUUCGCCCUCUUCACACUUACCGGAAUUCUCAAUGAGGAACGUGCACACUCCAAGGAGACUUACACACAAGCACAAAGUGAGGAGUGUGUCAUUUAAAGAAACUCCUGCCAACCACAGAGAACUCCCUCUUCAUGUUUGUUGCCUAUUUAUGAGGACACGUCAGUCAAAGCCUUGGGGACUGUGUGUGUGUGUGUGUGUGUGUGUGUGUGAGAGAAUAAAAGUCACCAGAAUAAAGUCUAAAUGGUGACCUCUGCAUGUGUGUGAGUGCGUGUGUGUGUACUUUGAUACAGGAUCCAGUGUUAUUUGCUUCCAGGAUGAAGCACGAAGGCGUGGCCUAGACGCGACUAGAUCAAUAAAUAAAUGUGUGCUUAAACAGUGA